UAACGAUAACAAUGCUGGAUUGGUAUUU
rnacentral:piRNA from 1 species